GCCCGUCUAGCUCAGUUGGUUGAGUGUAAGGCUUUUAACCUUAUGGUUGUGGGUUUGAGCCCCAUGGUGGGCG